GAGUACCGACAGGGGAGCGCUUCGGCGCUGAGAGUGCAUUACGCAGACCCUCGAACCUGCUCCGGACAAUGCCGGCGAAGGGAGUCGAGUUUCUCUCCGU
rnacentral:ncRNA from 2 species